UAGCAGUAGCAGCAGCUCUGUCCUGGAUCAGUGGAGAUGGGCUGAGGCGGAGAGAGCACACUCGACAACACCGAGACCGUUCAGUGUAGCAGCUACAGAAGGGAACACACGGGAAUUCUUCCCGGUCCCACUUGCCUCCUCUCCUCUCCCGGCCCUAGCAGGCCAGGGAAUGUCCCGGCAGCGAGAUGCCUUACGUGGACCGACAGAACCGCAUCUGUGGCUUCUUGGACAUAGAGGAGAACGAGAGCAGUGGCAAGUUCCUGCGCCGUUACUUCAUACUGGACACGCAGCAGGGAAGCUUGGUGUGGUUCAUGGACAACCCACAGAACCUACCUGUUGGUACAGAGUGUGUUGGCUCCCUCAAGCUCACCUACAUCUCUAAGGUCAGCGAUGCCACUAAGCUGAGGCCUAAGGCAGAAUUCUGCUUCGUCAUCAAUGCUGGGAUGAGGAAGUUCUUCCUGCAGGCCAACGAUCAGCAGGAUCUUGUGGACUGGGUCAACGCUCUCAAUAAAGCCACUAAGAUCACUGUGCCAAAGUUGCCUGAUGGGCAGCAGAAUGCAGAGAACCAGAAGACUUUGCCGGACGUGGUAGGGCCCAAGAAACAAGUCUCCUAUAAGACGGAGAUCAUUGGAGGAGUCCCCAUCGUCACCCAGACACAGCACGACGGUGGUGAUGGUGCAGACAGAGCAGAGCGUGAGGCCAUGCAUCGGUCCCACAGCCAGCUGCCGUAUUUCCUGGGCAGGCCGACUCAGGAGCACACCGUCAUCAAGUCGGGCUACUGCGUCAAGCAGGGAGCUGUGAUGAGGAACUGGAAACGGCGCUACUUCCUACUGGAAGAAAACUCAAUGAGUUACUUCAAGUCAGACUUGGAGAAGGAGCCUCUAAGAAUGAUCCCACUGAAGGAAGUUCACAAAGUCCAGGAGUGCAAACAGAGUGACAUUAUGAUGAGAGAUAAUCUGUUUGAAGUCGUCACCACAUCAAGGACGUUUUACAUACAGGCGGACAGCCCAGAGGAGAUGCACAGCUGGAUCAAGGCAGUCUCAGGGGCCAUAGUGGCCCAGCGGGGGCCUGGGAGGUCUGCCGCUACAAUGCGGCAGGCCAGACGGCUGUCGAACCCCUGUAUACAGAGGUAUACGUCUCGAAUCGGGGAGUGCAGCAGCACUCUGCUGCAGCUGUGUACCUGUCUUAGAUGUGUGACAUCCUGCUUGUCUCUCCUCCUCCCUCCUGUUCGCUGCCUGUAUGUUUUUUUUUCUCUUUCUCAUACACACAAUAAUGAGAUACUUGUUUCCAUGUUGACUUCCUGUAACUUUUGUGUGCUCAAUGUUCUUUAACAGCUUUGAAAUGAGGACUCGCUAAUGCUGAAUUCACACGUCCAGAGUCACAAACUACUGAUUUUCAUAGGGAUUUGUUGAUUCAUUUACAUUAGGGAUGUCCCGAUCUGGUAUUAGGGCAGAUCAAGGCGUUUUCUAAUUAACCAGGAUCUGCUAUAUUGAGCAUUAUAGAGCCUGACCUGAUCCUUUGUAUUACGUCGGCUAUCACCCAAGCUUCUGUGCACAACAACGCAAUGAGUCCAGCCUAAAUCAACUCUCCCACACUCUGCUGUCUCUCAGUCUCCACUCCAUGUGUCAAAGAGCAGGGACUGAACCCCGCCUGUGCUGAAACACUAUAAACAACAGCAAAAUGCAGUAUGAAACCAUUUAUUUAUGUCAUUUACCUAAUUUAUCUGACUCGUUUCAAGACGCUUGCGUUUUACUGUCAUCUGUGGUACGUGGCGUUCACUGCCCUGCUCAGAGCAGAGACAAACAGCUCUGUUGAGCCGACAACACCCACACUCACCACACCACUGCAAGUCCAACAAAAGCCCCCGCGAGUAAGAAGCCAAUUAAAGUAAUUCAUUAAUGUAGCCUUGCAAACAGUGUAUAGACAACAAAAAUAAACACGUAACUGAAUACAUUUAAUUCAGGUAACUCAGGCAAAGGCUGAACCAAAGCAACAAACACUCAGAAUACUCUCUUAAAAGGGUAGAGACAUUCAGCGACUCUGUGCAGAUGUAUUAUCUAGAAAAAUAGAAAUAUCAGAUCGGGCUCGAUACCAGCAGAUUGGGGGCAAAAAACCUGAUUGGGUAAUCCCUUAUUUACGCAUGAAUAUUUAGGUUUCUAGGAGCUAUUUGAGUGUGCAAAGGGCUGAUGGGACAUUUCUUCAGUGUGGGCUAUUAUCUGAUUUUCUGUCUAAUCACAUAAAAUUCAGCAUAAUCUUGAUUUUGGACUUUUGGAUUCAGCAUAAAGUAUCUCUUAAUACGUGUGGCUCUCCCGAGGAUUUUUAGACAUGUUUGUGCUAGGAAACUGAUUCUUUAAUCUUGUGAUGCUUAGUGAUACUUUGUGGAUUUACUGAUCAGAAUUAUCACAAGCCUGCAGAGUCACAGGGUAUCACUGUGGAGCAUCUCUGUGUCGAAAUACAGGAUCUCAAAGUUGGCACAGAUAUUUGUAUUUGAGUCUUGAUGUUUCUCUAACCAACAUUUCAGCAGCUGCUCAGCGGCUACCCCCUUUUUGCUUUCACUACCUCUGCUGUGUUUUUCCUUUCCUCCCAUGCUCCUGUUCUGUGUUUCAGAGAUUGAAAUCUGACAAUGAAAAGCUGUGAAAUAAUGAGCAACAACCAACCACUGCUUCCUAAGGCACUCUGCUCCUCCACUGCAACCUGUCGAGACUACCAAAACUAAAAACCUGUUGACACUACUUCCACUACUCCCGCUACCUCUACUACUACUACUUCUUCUACUACUACUACUGCUACUACUACUGUUACUACCACCAUCUCCACUCUCUAGCAAUGCUACAUUCUUCAGCACCUACAACCCUUCAGUACCAACUCUGCUAAAGCUGCAUCAGGCUCCACAUGCUGGUGCUAAUUCCAAGAACACGGCGGCCGCUCCACUUUCUACCGCAGCCACGCGGGUCCCCCCGUCCCUCGCUCGCCCAUAUCUGCCAUGCCACCAUGCUACCCAGAGUGGGGGGCUGCUGUCACGUGCGGCACACGCUCGCAGCCUGG